AAUCCCUAACAGUCUGGAUCUCGGUUUCCUCAUCCGCAGGUGACUGCCGAGGAAGGUUCCAUCUGGCUUUAACAGUUUAUAUUUGAUAUUUCCAGUUCCCAUAACCUGAAGGGAAUUGGCCCACUGGGAACAGCUAUAUCACAUCCCUCUCCUCACAAACUCCAGGACCCACGGGCCCAAAUUCUGGGAGAUGCUGAUGUCCUGGAAAUAGGUGGGGAGAGGGUUCAACGCCCUCCUCUUUAUCAAACCCAGUCGCCGCUGCACGGGCCAGUCGCUACCGACGCCGCGCACCGCGAUUCCGGAAGUACCCUCCACACCGCCACCCCCUGCCCCGGGUUUAGAUGCUCCGGGGCUGAGGGCCCACUCGGCGUCCCGGACGCCUUCGGGAGGCGGAGGGCCGGGCAGUAGGAGUACAGAGCAGAGGGGCAGGGGGCUUGUCUUCCUGGGGGAAAGCUGGAGAGACCCGGAGAGGUGCUGGGGACCCGCCUGGCAAGGGAGAGCGCGUGGGGCAAGGCGGGAGGAGGGCAGCCCUCCCCGUUCCUGAGCCCCUAGAUUGGCCGGCGCCCGGGGUCCGAGGCCCGCGAUCCUGGGCUCCCAGACCAGGAACGAGGGGCGUGUCCGGGAGCGGAGGCGACUCGGCCCGGCACCCAGUGAGCGGCUGCCGCCCGUCACUCCCCAGCAGCCCCGGGCCCCAAACCCUCAGCCCCGUCCCGGAGCGAGCACUGCAAAGACAAAACAAACUCGUGCCAGCUUCCUGUUGUGCAACCCCGUCCUGAGUAAGUCAGAGCUGAAGAGUGCUGCCGCUGGCCCUCCGCUGGGAAGCCCGGGCGGCCGGCACCAGCAGACUUCCCGGCCCGGCCAAAGCCGGAAUCCGCAAGGGGCCGUGUUCCCGCUCGCGGCUCCAGGGAGCGCCCGGCCCCGCCGCGCCAGUAUCUUGACCCCAGCGUGGGAGGCCGGGAAGAUGCGGGUCACCGGACCGUCCCAAGACGAGUUAGCGUACCCCCAACCCAAAGACCUCCUGGAGCAAUGGGGAAAUCGUCUUGAGCAAUAUACACAAGCGUGGAAAACAGCCUUCGUGGAACUCCACAAACACGUGGAACUGGAAAAGACAACUACAGCCCCGUGUGCGUGAAAGACCUCACGUCACCCCAUCAAUUACCACUUUUCUAAAGUGUCCCUUCAGUGAGGACUCAUGGGCGGCAUGCACGACCGUGCCCCUGCGUCCUGUAACUGGCCCUGCUUAUGUAGCCCUCUGCCCCCUGUAGUUUAAAAGA